CCGUCUCUCGGACCCCAUUUCUCUCUUGUGCUGCCUUCACGGACAGCCUCCACGAAGACGCCGCCUUGCGCUGUGUUCGUGUGGGCCGUGGCCUAACGGGCUGACACCUGUCGGGAGUUGAUGCGUAUUUGCCUGGGAGACCACCCUCGUCACUUUCUGGAAUCCCUCGUAGACCGGGGACAGAUGGCCUACGGACACCCUGCAGCUCCUCCCCCAGCUCCCUGCACACGUUGUCAGCCGUCUCCUGACGUCAGCCUCUCUCGCACGUGCUGCGCCCCCCGUGCACGGGCUGGGGGCCCCUGCAACUCAUGCACCGAACGGACAGCACGGCGGCAUUCUGGGCUCCUGGCACAGACGCCACUCUGUUUAGAAACCUGGAGGGGGGAGCCGUGACGCCCACAGGCUGCCUCCCAGAAGGCCCCGCACGAGACCGUCGUACUUUAUCUUAAGCCAACAGCACAACUUUCUCCUUGGAACACUGUUCGUGUUUACGGCGCAGUGACUUAAGACCACCCACUUCUCAACACAGGUUAACCACACACGUACGGCCAGGGGGAGUAUCCUGGAGAGGAGUGAUUUCCAUUCAAGCCGGGGGGCGUUUCCUCACCGUCAACACGGUAUCGAUCACACCGGUAGUCUUCUGCCUCACUUUCUCCCAGCCUCCUUUUUCCUUUUUAAAUAUGUUUUCUGAAGUCUCUCCAGAUGAACCAGAGUAACUUUGUUUUUGGAAAAGAACAAAUUUCCCCCAGCAGUGCCAACCCUCCAGUGGCCGAAACGAGCAGUUCUCAAACAACCUUGGAGAUUCCAGUGCUCCCUCCGCAGAAUUCUAGAACAGCAGCACGUAAUCCGAGUAUUCCACAGAAGGGCAGACUGCCCAGCGAGCCCAGUAACUAUGCAAACCCUCUGCCCCCUCGGGGCCCAGAGGGGAGGCCUGUAUAAAUGCUACAGCCAGGAAUAAAAGCAAUUUCCCGA